AUGGAUCAUCUUAUCAUGGAUGACGUCCUCGCGACGCCGAUCACCACACAAUCAUCAUGUUGCGGCAUCGCACCGCAACUAACCAUCAACGCCAUCGUGCCGCCAACAGCGCCCACCUUGCGCCGUCUUGCCGUGGACGACGCUGUCGCGGCGCCGAGUACCACGACCUCUUGCCGCAUGCAGCGGCCAUGUCUUCACGUGGACGACGCCUUCGCGGCGCCGAUCGCCACGCCGUCUUCUCCUCAUAACGGCCUCGUGUCGUCGUACCUCCCAUCGGCGUCACACCGUCGUCUUGUGGCAGCUUCGCACCGCCAUCAUCUAGCGGCAUCACACCGCAACCGGCCACCGGCAGCAUCGCGCCGCCGACGGCCACCCACCUUGCGCCGCCGUCCUCCACCUCACAUGGAGUAG
rnacentral:rRNA from 1 species